CCAAUGAAAAUAUUGUAAAGGCCCCUAGGACAGAAAAUAAGUUCAACAUUGAUGAAUGCAAAGUUAAGCAUUUGUGAAGUAUAAACAAGCCUGCAACAAGUGAAAAUAAAGUGUUAUUCUUAGUGGAGCCCUAGAUAAAUAGAGGUUAGAUGUGUCUCUGAACACCGUCAAGUAGCAGCCGCAAAAACAAAAAUAUAAA